GAGGAGGAGAACAAAGGAGUAUAUACUCAUACCCCAAUGGAUGGUGGAACAUCUUGUUUCUCGUCCACCGUCAGUGCUAUACCCUAGAAAACACUAACCAUAGCUUGUAACACUGAAUCAGUGAGCAACCUGCUGGUGCAAACGGGUUUGCUUGAAAUCAUGGCUGCUGCCGCUGCUGCUAUUGCUGUUGCUGUUGAUCUUUUUUAAUGGAGGAUUGAAUUUUUAAAAUUGACGGUUGGUUGUUUUUUUUUCUUCUGAUAUCAUUAUUUUUUUUGAAGUUUCUCCGAUUGCUUAGGAAUUUUCCAUCAAGGUUCUAGGUUUGUUUGGGAAGAAGAAGGGAUUAGGAUGUGUGUUUCUUGUGUAGGAAAAGUUAGUUCUUUUACUUUUUUUUUGGGUCAUCUAGUAAAGAGUUAUUUUGUUGGUACUUUUGUGGAUCUAAUUUGGGCAUAACAAUAAACAGGGUCUUAUAUCAUUCUGGAUCCUUCCUUUUGUUUUUUCCCUCUAGAUGUUCAAUUCAAUUUACAUAUGUUUCAUGAUUUAUUGUAUUAAAUAAAGUAAUGAUUUUGGCAAAAUAGUGAACAGAUAGUCUCUUGAAUCUCAGUCAAGAUGCAUCUUUUGAUAAUUGAAACUUAUUCAUAGAGAAUACAAAAUUUCACUUGUGAAAGUUGUUAACAUGUGGGGACUUGUGGCAUGGCCAUAAGGUUUGUUAUGUUGUGAUAAGAAGAGGUAAGUGUGACAAAAAAGGGAGAGUGUUGGUGAAAAGUUUUUACCUAGUCAUUGUGCAUCUUUUACUUGUGGGCAAGUUACUUUUUAUGAUAUUUCAAUCCUUUCAGAUUUCCGUCAUUGGUGUAUGUGGUAUGGGAAGAGUUGGAAAGACUACCUUUGUGAAGAAUUUGAAUAAUGAGCUCAUAAAGAUUAUUGCGUCAGACUCUAAACUAUCUUUUGGUGUUAUGGUAUGGAUUACCAUUCCCAAACCGCCAAUAGACAUAAGCAAGGUUCAAACAAGAAUUGCCAAUAGAAGAGAUGUAAAGGUUGAUGACAACGAAAGCGUACAAAAUGUUGCUAAUAAAAUUCAUCAAAAACUCGAACAAGAAAUGAUCCCAGUUCUUAUACUAGAUCAAGCUUGGCAAAUGAAAACAUACACCGAAACAAAGGUGUACACUAUGAUUGAGGAUGAAUCUUGGCAACUGUUUGUCAAAAAAGCAGAAGAUAAUGCCUCUUUGGAGCAUAUUCAACCAUUUGCAAAGGCAAUUGCAAGAGAGUGCGGUGGUUUACCUUUAGCAAUUGUUGUUAUGGGAGCAUCUGUGAGGGAAGAAGAGGGUCGAGUUGUGGGAAGUUUUUUUACAAUCACUUGGAAUGUCCAAACCUCAUAACGAAUAUGUCAAAAAGAGAGGUGACAUUCAAAGUUGUUUCUUGUAUUGCUCCUUAUAUUCGGUGGCUAUUCCAACAGAUGCUCUCAUACACAUUGCCGAUGGGCAGAGGGGUUACUUGGUGAACGUAACACAUGAAGCCUACAAGAGGGGAAUCACAAUUAUUGAGAGUCUAAAGAUGCCUGCUUGCUUGAAAUGUAUGAGUUUGAAUUUGUGAAGAUGCAUGACGUAGUUCAAGAUGUUGUUUCAUGGAUAGCUCAUUCCUCUGGUAAUGAACACAAUUCUCUUAUUCAGGAAGGACAUGGAGAAGCUAACAAAGUUAAGAGAUGCUAUCAAGGAGAAGGUGGAAGGAGUUGAGAGAGAAGGCUAUAAACCAAAACCAGAUGUUCUUAAGUGGCUCAAGGAUGUUUAGAAGCUGGUGAAUGAAUGGGAGUCUAUCCAAGAAAACAUUGCAAUGACGAAGAAGCUUGCAUAAAAAUGCUGUCCAUGUUGCAGCCUUCACUUGGAAGUCUCCAAUCAAGCACAAAACCUGGGAGAUCAACUUUGUAAGCUUAUAGAUAUCAUAGAAAGCUUUGAAUCCAAUUUGGUGGUAGAAAAUUACCAGAUGAAAUUAGUUGAGUUCAUCCCAGAACCAUCAAUAGAAGGUCAGUCAGCAGCAACAAGGAAUCUCAACAAAAUCCUACAACUAUUAGAAGAUGAUGAGGUGGGGAUCAAGUGUCUUGACUUGAUGUGACAAUCCAAUGUAUUCUAUCCAAGUGGCAGAAAAUAGGUGGAUAUUUAAAAUUACUUCUGUUCUCCGUGAAGUAAUGGGAUACAUAAAAUCCCUCCAUGGACAAGUGAAGUGUGUGAACAACACUUGCUUGAGAUGGACCAAUUCAAGAAUUUCUGGGCGAUUUGGUCCAGCUCGCGCUUGAACAAGCUAAGCCUCUCAAUUUUCGAAGGAAAAAGUGGUAGGGGAACACAUUAGAGCACAAUCUACGGGAUGGGCUCUCGGAACAAUGUAUGAUGCCUCCAAUUAGGAUUAGAAUGCAUUGGAUUGUGACUUGAUGGUGUUCAAAUAGCAGCCAUGUCGCAGCAAAUUGCACAACUUGUGCAUUGGUAGCGUCUAAGGUUCAACGAGUUGCUGAAAAAUGAAAGAAUGAGUAAAAAAGAAAAUCAAAGAAUAAGUGCUUAACCUCGCUCGUAUGACCCAUUCUUCAAGAAGACCCUCGAGUGAUGAUGAAGUCGAAUACAUAGCCUCCACUUCUUAGCAUCUCUUCAGUGAUCUUUUUAUACUUGUAGCAAUUUUUUUGUAUAUUUUAUAUUAUGAUUUUAGUGUUUAUGGAUGAUUGAUGGAGUGCAUAUGCUUUUAUUUGGAAUGGACUGUAUUGAAUUUGUAAUAAUUUAUUUACAGGUGGGUAGUAGAAAAGCGACGGGCCGAGUCGCUUCUUCUAAAAAAAUAAGUGAUGCGGUCUGUCGCUUAGGCAGAAAAUUAAGUUAUUGCUGUCAAUUAAUUGUCGCAAAAGAUCCUUUUUCGUCUAGUCACUCGAUUUUACCGUGUAAAA